UACGGAAGGCAGCAGUGGGGAAUAUUGCACAAUGGGCGCAAGCCUGAUGCAGCCAUGCCGCGUGUAUGAAAAAGGCCUUCGGGUUGUAAAGUACUUUCAGUCGUGAGGAAGGUGUUAAGGUUAAUAACCUUAGCAAUUGACGUUAGCGACAGAAGAAGCACCGGCUAACUCCGUGCCAGCAGCCGCGGUAAUACGGAGGGUGCGAGCGUUAAUCGGAAUUACUGGGCGUAAAGGGCACGCAGGCGGUUAAUUAAGUUGGAUGUGAAUCCCCGGGCUUAACCUGGGAAUGGCAUUCAAGACUGGUUAGCUAGAGUCUUGUAGAGGGGGUAGAAUUCCAUGUGUAGCGGUGAAAUGCGUAGAGAUGUGGAGGAAUACCGGUGGCGAAGGCGGCCCCUGGACAAAGACUGACGCUCAUGUGCGAAAGCGUGGGGAGCAAACAGGGAUUACAUACC
rnacentral:rRNA from 1 species